rnacentral:rRNA from 1 species
GACGAACCGUGCGAACGUUAUUCGGAAUUACUGGGCGUAAAGGGCCAGUAGGCGGCCAACUAAGUCCGACGUGAAAUCCCAAGGCUUAACCUUGGAACUGCGUCGGAUACUGGAUGGCUUGAAUUCGGGAGAGGGAUGCAGAAUUCCAGGUGUAGCGGUGAAAUGCGUAGAUAUCUGGAGGAAUACCGGUGGCGAAGGCGGCAUCCUGGACCGACAUUGACGCUGAACGGCGAAAGCUAGGGGAGCAAACGGG